UUAGUUUAUAUUUGUAUGGAAUGGGAUCGUUUGCGUACGUUUGCCGCUAGGGGCGCUGUUCCAAUUGCAUACAAAAUUGGCUUA
rnacentral:pre_miRNA from 1 species